rnacentral:rRNA from 1 species
UACGUAGGGGGCUAGCGUUGUCCGGAAUCAUUGGGCGUAAAGCGCGUGUAGGCGGUCCGGUAAGUCCGCUGUGAAAGUCGGGGGCUCAACCCUCGGAUGCGGGUGGAUACUGUCGGGCUUGAGUGCGGAAGAGGCGAGUGGAAUUCCUGGUGUAGCGGUGAAAUGCGCAGAUAUCAGGAGGAACACCAAGUGGCGAAGGCAGCUCGCUGGAACGGUACUGACGCUGAGGCGCGAAAGCGUGGGGAGCAAACAGG